AGGACGAACGCUGGCGGCGUGCUUAACACAUGCAAGUGGAGCGACGAACCAGGCUUCGGCCUGGGGCAGAGCCGCGAACGGGUGAGUAACACGUGGGUAACGUGCCCCGAUGACUGGGACAACCCGGGGAAACCCGGCUAAUACCGGAUAUGCCCCCUCACGCGAGUGAGGUGUGUAAAGGAAGCUUCGGCCUCCGCAUCGGGAUCGGCCCGCGGCCCAUUAGCUUGUUGGUGAGGUAACGGCUCACCAAGGCUGCGAUGGGUAGCUGGUCUGAGAGGACGAUCAGCCACACUGGGACUGAGACACGGCCCAGACUCCUACGGGAGGCAGCAGUGGGAAUCUUGCGCAAUGCGCGAAAGCGUGACGCAGCAACGCCGCGUGGGGAAGAAGGCCUUCGGGUUGUAAACCCCUUUCGAGUCGGACGAAGGUCGGCGGUGAAGUAGCCGUUCCGACUGACGGUACCUUCGACGAAGAACGCCCCGCUAACGUACGUGCCAGCAGCCGAC
rnacentral:rRNA from 1 species